UACAUGGGGUGCAAACGUUGCUCGGAAUCAUUGGGCGUAAAGCGCGCGUAGGCGGUUACUUAAGUUGGAUGUGAAAGCCCUCGGCUUAACUGAGGAAGUGCAUCCAAAACUGAGUAGCUAGAGUACGAAAGAGGGUCGCGGAAUUCCCGGUGUAGAGGUGAAAUUCGUAGAUAUCUGGAGGAACACCGGUGGCGAAGGCGGCAUCCUGGACCGACAUUGACGCUGAGGCGCGAAAGCCAGGGGAGCAAACGGG
rnacentral:rRNA from 1 species